rnacentral:rRNA from 1 species
UACGGGGGGAGCAAGCGUUGUUCGGAUUUACUGGGCGUAAAGGGCGGGUAGGCGGCCACUGCAAGUCGGUUGUGAAAUCUCCGGGCUUAACUCGGAAAGGUCAAUCGAUACUGCAGGGCUAGAGUGCAGAAGGGGCAACUGGAAUUCUCGGUGUAGCGGUGAAAUGCGUAGAUAUUGGGAGGAACACCGGUGGCGAAGGCGGCUACCUGGACCGGUACUGACGCUGAGACCCGAAAGCCAGGGUAGCGAACCGG